GCUGUGUGCUGUAGCAGCCCGAUGGAGCCGCGCGCUCUUUGGGACACCGCUCUAGCGCCACCCUCCUCACGCGCACAGCGAAUCACUGACCCAACGCUGCGCCUAUACAUAUGCUCUAACCGGAAGACAUUCAUAUCCCAGUUCCUGAAGGCAACCUGGCACUGUAGAUGUUACUAACCUGAGGGGCUGGCUGGAGCUGAGGAUGUUCAUGGCAACCUUGCACUGAAGCGAGAUGAAAGGCAGACCAACGGAUGUUGUGGCUACUGGAUCAUUUGAAUAAGCUGAUGCAGAUCUGCAGUACCUGACUGUAAUAGUGAAUUUGGGAUUGUAUGCUUAUGGUUGUCACCAGAGGUGUGGUCUAACCAAGCAGGAAUCCACGUUUGAAGUGAAUGAUGUCUUCAGAUUGGAACUUCUGGAACAACUAUAACUACUUAUUCACAACUAAUGUCCCUCUUUUCUAUAAUGGAUGACAAUAAAAGCACAACCAUUUUUAACUUAAACAAGCUUAUUUUUAAUGGAUCUGCAAAAUCGUUUGAAUUUCCAAAGAGAAUGCCCUCCCCUCCCUUUUUCCC